rnacentral:rRNA from 1 species
ACCGGCAAACGGGUGCGGAACACGUACGCAACCUUCCUUUAAGUGGGGGAUAGCCCAGGGAAACUUGGAUUAAUACCCCGUAAUAUUAUGGAGUGGCAUCACUUUAUAAUUAUAGCUACGGCGCUUAAAGAUGGGCGUGCGGCUGAUUAGGUAGUUGGCGGGGUAACAGCCCACCAAGCCUGCGAUCAGUAACUGGUGUGAGAGCACGACCAGUCACACGGGCACUGAGACACGGGCCCGACUCCUACGGGAGGCAGCAGUAAGGAAUAUUGGUCAAUGGACGCAAGUCUGAACCAGCCAUGCCGCGUGGAGGAUGAAGGCCCUCUGGGUUGUAAACUUCUUUUAUUUGGGAAGAAACCCAUCUUUUCUAAGGUGGUUGACGGUACCAGAUGAAUAAGCACCGGCUAACUCCGUGCCAGCAGCCGCGGUAAUACGGAGGGUGCAAGCGUUAUCCGGAUUCACUGGGUUUAAAGGGUGCGUAGGUGGGCAGGUAAGUCAGUGGUGAAAUCUCCGGGCUUAACCCGGAAACUGCCGUUGA